rnacentral:rRNA from 1 species
UACGGAGGGGGCUAGCGUUGUUCGGAAUUACUGGGCGUAAAGCGCACGUAGGCGGCUUUGUAAGUUAGAGGUGAAAGCCCGGGGCUCAACUCCGGAAUUGCCUUUAAGACUGCAUCGCUAGAAUUGUGGAGAGGUAAGUGGAAUUCCGAGUGUAGAGGUGAAAUUCGUAGAUAUUCGGAAGAACACCAGUUGCGAAGGCGACUUACUGGACACAUAUUGACGCUGAGGUGCGAAAGCGUGGGGAGCAAACAGG